rnacentral:rRNA from 1 species
ACUCCUACGGGAGGCAGCAGUGGGAAUAUUGCACAAUGGGCGCAAGCCUGAUGCAGCCAUGCCGCGUGUAUGAAGAAGGCCUUCGGGUUGUAAAGUACUUUCAGUCAGAUGAGGAAGGCGGGUACGUUAAUAGCGUGCUCGUUUGACGUUAGCUGCAGAAGAAGCACCGGCUAACUCCGUGCCAGCAGCCGCGGUAAUACGGAGGGUGCGAGCGUUAAUCGGAAUUACUGGCGUAAAGCGCAUGCAGGUGGUUUGUUAAGUCAGAUGUGAAAGCCGGCU